rfam:Thermoplasmatales archaeon I-plasma AMDT3_IPLC00001, whole genome shotgun sequence.
GGGCCCGUAGCUUAGACAGGUAGAGCGACCGGCUCUUAACCAGUAGGUCAGGGGUUCAAAUCCCCUCGGGCCCG